rnacentral:lncRNA from 1 species
CAUGUGUGAAUGUACAGUUAACCAUUGAAAUUGAUCAUGUAUAUUCAAUUAUAUGGUUUAAAUAUUCCAAUUUGAUAUGGAGCAUAAAUAGUGUGUUGGGAAAUGGGAAAAGAAAGAAAUGUGUUAUUUGAAAGAUCAUUUGAAAAAUGAUACAGGUGUUUUAGCAAUUAUUAUAAUUAGUUCUGAACUAUUUUGAAAUGCUUAAUGCUCUGUUACUAAUAUGUAUACUAUGGCUGACCAAUGGGACUGUUCAUGUUGAAUUGUGAUUUCGAGAAAAGGCGAAGCAAUUAUAUUACUGUCCCUGUUGAGAUACUAUGCUUCACAAAAACAUAAUUACAUUCUUCAUCUUCAUUCUUCAGUGUGCUUAUGUGGAAUUGUUAGAGCUAUAGUGUAAGAUGUAUAUAUGUGAGUGCUGUGAUAUUCUCUAACCUCUGGCCUAUGUUAUCUACAAUAUUUAAUUAAGCCUUUACUCCCAACAGUUGAUACUGGAGAAAUACAGAGGAUUACUUUUGUAUGACUGUUACUUUGGUAUAUGAUUGACAAAGCUUUUGAUAAAAGUAUUAAAGUUUGAUAAAAUGUGUAGCUGAAAAGUUGAUAAAAGUUGUCGAUCUCAUGAAAUCUGUUGUUAAAAUUAAAGUUUGAAAAGUUGAUAAAAUUUUAGCAAUGUUUUAUCACACUAAAGACUCUUAUGAAAUGCUUAGAUAUGUAAUGUAUAGGCUGACAACAUCUUGGCACAAUCAUUGAGGUGGAGUUGGGACCUAAAAGAUUGAAUGGAUCAGUAUAGACAUUAAACCCAUGAUCUAUAAAUAUUACUUUCCUGUGUAACAUUUGUUUAAGUGGUUUUGUAAAGGCAAAUGAAAACGCCUUUAUUUCUUUAGUUUUGCUUAAAAGGGUUUCUAGUUUUUGUGGAUUUGUGAAGCCAGAAGCAUCUGUUCGAUGCUACAAGGUCCUCUCACUCAACCUGGUUUAUUUGGAAGGUCUUACUACAUUUCUGAGUUCUAGAAACUGACACCAGUUGUUGGCCUAGAGCUGUUGAAAACCAGGAUUGACUUGAUUGUAGUACUAUUUCUUGAAAACUGGCACUGGCGUUUCUGGUUGCAUCAGAACUGGACGUCGAGACAGAUAUCUGGCGAUGGCAAGUAGAAGAACGAAGUUCCGUAUGAAUGUUAUUGAUCCUGAAUCCUAGGAUGUGUCAUAAUGAAUGUGUUGAUCUUGACUCUCAGGAUGUGUUGUCUAUGUUGCAGUUCUGAUAUGAACGGUUUUUUGUUAUCCCGAAGCUUAGGAAGUGUCAUGGGUAUGUUGGAGUUUCUAUAUUGAUAUUCGUUGCCUGAAUAUGCAUUUAAGUGACCAGUCAAAGAUAACGACUAAUUCGGUUUGAUUAGUGAUCCAACCAUGGUUCCCCUUCAAGCAUCUGUAGUACAUGUCUUGGAGCUUGCCAGUGAAUGUAUAAAGAAUUUAGAAGAAAUGGACUUAGAGCAUGUUUGAAGCUGUUUAUAUUAAAGAUAAGCGAUAGACGUAUGGUUUUUUGUAAUGUGAACUUACUUGCGUUCAUAAUGAGUCUACAAAAGUCCCACAUGUUGACAUUUGUGUUUCAGAAUGUAGAGGGUGCAAUUACAUGUUGAUAUUGGUGAUCCAGAAUUUGCACAUUACCGGUGGCAACUGGGGUUUAGAAUGGUG